ensembl:lncRNA
AGAUGGUGAAAUCUUUCUGAGCUUCCAAAAUCUUAACUUAUUUUGGAUCCAUAUCCUUAUGAAGGUCCACUUAGGGAGACCUGUAACACUCACCAUGACACCAAGAUUUCAGCUCUCUGUAUUCACAUUACACCAUCUAUGACCCCAGCAAAAUCACGAUAGAACCUCCUGUCAUGCAUCAAGGAACGAACUCUGGACUUCAUUUCCCAGCAGCCACUGCACCGUACUACAUCAAUGUCACGUUACCACCUGCACCUGUAUCACGUUUCUGUUUAACGAGCACUCCUAUAUAUAGCCACUGUUUGCACUGCUUACUUGUCUUAUAUUAGUUGUUAUAUGCUUUGUCUCUAUAGCUGUGGUUUUGUGCCUUUGUUUAUGUUUAAUCCUUGCCACAGUGUUUUGCCUCAUGUUAUAG